GGGCCGUUAGCUCAACUUGGUAGAGCAGCGGACUCUUAAUCCGCGGGUUGGAGGUUCAAGUCCUCCACGGCUCACCA
rnacentral:tRNA from 2 species